rnacentral:rRNA from 1 species
UGCCAGCCGCCGCGGUAAUACGGAGGGUGCAAGCGUUAUCCGGAAUUACUGGGUUUAAAGGGUGCGUAGGCGGGCUAUUAAGUCAGAGGUGAAAGCUAUAAGCUUAACUUGUAAAUUGCCUUUGAUACUGAUAGUCUUGAAUUAGGUUGAGGUUAGCGGAAUGUGGCAUGUAGCGGUGAAAUGCAUAGAUAUGCCAUAGAACACCAAUUGCGAAGGCAGCUGGCUAGGCCUUAAUUGACGCUGAGGCACGAAAGCGUGGGGAGCGAACAGGAUUAGAUA